rnacentral:rRNA from 1 species
GUGGGGAAUUUUGGACAAUGGGCGCAAGCCUGAUCCAGCCAUUCCGCGUGCAGGAUGAAGGCCUUCGGGUUGUAAACUGCUUUUGUACGGAACGAAAAGCCUCUGGUUAAUACCCGGGGGUCAUGACGGUACCGUAAGAAUAAGCACCGGCUAACUACGUGCCAGCAGCCGCGGUAAUACGUAGGGUGCGAGCGUUAAUCGGAAUUACUGGGCGUAAAGCGUGCGCAGGCGGUGCUGUAAGACAGGCGUGAAAUCCCCGGGCUCAACCUGGGAAUUGCGCUUGUGACUGCAGUGCUGGAGUGCGGCAGAGGGGGAUGGAAUUCCGCGUGUAGCAGUGAAAUGCGUAGAUAUGCGGAGGAACACCGAUGGCGAAGGCAAUCCCCUGGGCCUGCACUGACGCUCAUGCACGAAAGCGUGGGGAGCAAACAGGAUUAGAAACCCCGGUAGUCC